UAUUGCACAAUGGGCGCAAGCCUGAUGCAGCCAUGCCGCGUGUGUGAAGAAGGCCUUCGGGUUGUAAAGCACUUUCAGUCGUGAGGAAGGUGGUAGUGUUAAUAGCACUAUCAUUUGACGUUAGCGACAGAAGAAGCACCGGCUAACUCCGUGCCAGCAGCCGCGGUAAUACGGAGGGUGCGAGCGUUAAUCGGAAUUACUGGGCGUAAAGCGCAUGCAGGUGGUUUGUUAAGUCAGAUGUGAAAGCCCCGGGGCUCAACCUCGGAAUAGCAUUUGAAACUGGCAAAACUAGAGUACUGUAGAGGGGGUAGAAUUUCAGGUGUAGCGGUGAAAUGCGUAGAGAUCUGAAGGAAUACCGGUGGCGAAGGCGGCCCCCUGGACAGAUACUGACACUCAGAUGCGAAAGCGUGGGGAGCAAACAGGAUUAGAUACCCUGGUAG
rnacentral:rRNA from 1 species